AAUUGCUCCCAGGGGCUGUGAAACAGCAACAUCCUCAGGCUGGCAGAACUGCUGAUGCCUCAAAUGCCCUGUUGUUCUUUUGGUGGCUGCUGGGCUAUGGAAGGGGCACGAUCCCCUCAGCAGCGGCUGUUCUCUGGAGGAGCUGAGACUCCCUGUAUGAGGUGAAUAGAGCUGUGUCCCCCUGGAAAACGGUUCAUGAUUACGAUGGUGGCGAGCUUCGUGGCCAUGGCGGGCCAGUUCCUCAUGCCCGGGCUAGCCGCCCUGUGCCGGAACUGGCAGGUGCUGCAGGCCCUCAUCAUCUGCCCCUUCCUGCUCAUGCUGCUCUACUGGUCGAUAUUCCCUGAGUCCCUCCGGUGGCUAAUGGCCACCCAGCAGUUUGAGUCUGCAAAGAGGCUGAUCCUCCACUUCACACAGAAGAACCGCAUGAACCCUGAGGGCGACAUCAAGGGUGUGAUGCCAGAGCUGGAGAAGGAGCUUUCCCGGAGGCCCAAGAAGGUCUGCAUCGUGAAGGUGGUGGGGACACGGAACCUGUGGAAGAACAUUGUGGUCCUGUGUGUGAAC
rnacentral:sRNA from 1 species